rnacentral:rRNA from 1 species
AACUGCUAACAACGGAUCACUCGGUUCUCACGUCGAUGAAGAGCGUAGCGAAUUGCGAAAAGUAAUGCGAUCUGCACCCAUCGUGAAUCAUCGAAUCCUUGAACGCACUCUGCACCCAAUGGUACCCCCAUGGGUAUGCCUGAUUGAGUACUUGUU